rnacentral:rRNA from 1 species
CUUGCUGCUUUGCUGACGAGUGGCGGACGGGUGAGUAAUGUCUGGGAAACUGCCUGAUGGAGGGGGAUAACUACUGGAAACGGUAGCUAAUACCGCAUAACGUCGCAAGACCAAAGAGGGGGACCUUCGGGCCUCUUGCCAUCGGAUGUGCCCAGAUGGGAUUAGCUAGUAGGUGGGGUAACGGCUCACCUAGGCGACGAUCCCUAGCUGGUCUGAGAGGAUGACCAGCCACACUGGAACUGAGACACGGUCCAG